AACGAACACUGGCGGCAUGCCUAACACAUGCAAGUCGAACGAGACCUUCGGGUCUAGUGGCGCACGGGUGCGUAACGCGUGGGAACCUGCCCUUAGGUUCGGAAUAACUCCCCGAAAGGGGUGCUAAUACCGGAUAAUGUCUUCGGACCAAAGAUUUAUCGCCUUUGGAUGGGCCCGCGUUGGAUUAGCUAGUUGGUAGGGUAAAAGCCUACCAAGGCGACGAUCCAUAGCUGGUCUGAGAGGAUGAUCAGCCACACUGGGACUGAGACACGGCCCAGACUCCUACGGGAAGCAGCAGUGGGGAAUAUUGGACAAUGGGCGAAAGCCUGAUCCAGCAAUGCCGCGUGAGUGAUGAAGGCCUUAGGGUUGUAAAGCUCUUUUACCCGGGAUGAUAAUGACAGUACCGGGAGAAUAAGCUCCGGCUAACUCCGUG
rnacentral:rRNA from 1 species